CUACACACCAUCAAUUUCCUCACAUUGAAUUCAGUCAUUUUGUUGAAAUCAUACCUAGCAUGUCGCCCACAAUCUCGCUGUAGGUUUUCCGAGCUACGUCCAGGAGGCCGUUGAUCCCGGGCUUGACUGCAAAACACUGCUGGAUCUGGGACUUGGCGUAGUUCUUCUCCGGGUGGGCGCUCUCGUUGAUGACCUCCAGGAUCUUGUCCAGGAUCAGCUGGAAGCGGUCGUCCACCAGGGCCUGGCCGCGCGAGCAACCAGGUCAGCUCAAGCACUGCAUGCAGUACAGAAGUAUUGAAAGUCGUCACCAUGUCGCGUGCGGUAGUGUGUUUCGGAUUGGCUCCCGCGGUGCUCCGAUCCCCAUCCAUGGAGUAAAUCUUCCGGAUCGUACCCACUUUUGUGUGGGUUCCAUGUCCCGAGCGGGAAUCGUACUCCAGCCCGAGGACCACCCCUGCUCUCCGCCUGUGCCACCCCGGUGCUUGCAUCGUGUACUGGCCGGCAGCAUGAGUAGACAAUACAUUUGAAAUGUAACAUUUAUUAUCUCCAAAAACCUUUAAAAAAAAAGCACAUAAUCAACAGAUUACCACAGUGCGAAGACCUUUCAUAAUGGACCUUUUAGGAUCUUGAGAAAUUAGAAAAAUAGACAAAUAUAUUUUUGUAAUAUUAUACAGUAAUAGCCUUGACUUAAUUUAGUAUCAUGAAAAAUUGCUUAAUGUAUUUUCACAACUAACAAGCCGGCCUGAGAAAAAUUAUUAUGUAAA